CAGCAAACUGAAUGGGGUCACAGGAAGACUUUCUUCCACUGCCAGCUUGAAAAAAUCUGGACUCUUUGGAGAGCCAUGAGACCGCAGCAAUAUGUUCAGAAAGGGGAUCAGGUUGCAGAACUACAACGUUGAGCACACAAUGGAAUAUUGCUGGGAUGCAGCUGGCAAGGCUGCCAGAAAAACAGGAGCUUUCCAACAGAGAGGAUCAAGGUGCAGCAGAGCGCGCCAUCAGAGGACAUGGAGAUGUACUCGAUAGGAGACCCCAAACGAGGCAGGAAAUCCUUCUGACAUGAAGAUUCAUUGUGCCACUGGACUAGAACAGAUUCMACUCCACCACUCAGCAACCUGGUUCCUUUUCCAGCAACAAAAUACAGUUAAAAAAUCCUUCCUGGACAUACUUAAAACUCCAAAAGUUGAACUUAUUAGCAUGAACUGCAUAGAGUCCAUCUGAGAGGAAAAGAACCCAACCAACCAACAUGACAGAGAGGAAAAAAGCCCAAAGGUGAACGUACUUCUCU